rnacentral:rRNA from 1 species
UUAAUUCGAUGCAACGCGAAGAACCUUACCUACUCUUGACAUCCAGAGAAGCCAGCGGAGACGCAGGUGUGCCUUCGGGAACUCUGAGACAGGUGCUGCAUGGCUGUCGUCAGCUCGUGUUGUGAAAUGUUGGGUUAAGUCCCGCAACGAGCGCAACCCUUAUCCUUGUUUGCCAGCGAGUAAUGUCGGGAACUCCAGGGAGACUGCCGGUGAUAAACCGGAGGAAGGUGGGGACGACGUCAAGUCAUCAUGGCCCUUACGAGUAGGGCUACACACGUGCUACAAUGGCGCAUACAGAGGGCAGCAAGCUAGCGAUAGUGAGCGAAUCCCAAAAAGUGCGUCGUAGUCCGGAUUGGAGUCUGCAACUCGACUCCAUGAAGUCGGAAUCGCUAGUAAUCGUGAAUCAGAAUGUCACGGUGAAUACGUUCCCGGGCCUUGUACACACCGC